AUGCCGUCGACGUCGUCCAAGCCGAAGAGAGCAGGUGGCCUCCGGGGCCUCAGGCCGCAGCUGCUGAGCCUGCCGGCCCGGCCGUCCAAGAAGCCACGCGUUGGCGGCCACGCCGGACCAGCCGGGCCCAUGAUCGUGUACGAGCGCACGCCGAGGGUCGUCCACGCCGACCCACACGAGUUCAUGGCCGUCGUGCAGAGGCUCACGGGCAAUUGCAAGAAGCGACCGUCGAUGGAGGCGACGUCUUUGGUUCUCACGCUUAGCCAGCAGCAGCGUGCACCGUGUGGUCAUGAUGAUCAUCCGGAACCUUCUGCUUCCCCGUCUGCUGCAUGGUCGCUGCUGUCCCCGAGCAGCUUCUUCUUCUCCCCGACCACCAUGCAGGCGAUACGGGAGCUCAUCAGCUGA
rnacentral:rRNA from 1 species